rnacentral:rRNA from 1 species
AUAGAUACCCGGUAGUCCACGCCCUAAACGAUGCGAACUGGAUGUUGGGUACAUUACGGUACUCAGUGUCGAAGCUAACGCGUUAAGUUCGCCGCCUGGGGAGUACGGUCGCAAGACUGAAACUCAAAGGAAUUGACGGGGGCCCGCACAAGCGGUGGAGUAUGUGGUUUAAUUCGAUGCAACGCGAAGAACCUUACCUGGCCUGACAUCUGUCGAAUCCUGCAGAGAUGCGGGAGUGCCGCAAGGAACGACAAGACAGGUGCUGCAUGGCUGUCGUCAGCUCGUGUCGUGAGAUGUUGGGUUAAGUCCCGCAACGAGCGCAACCCUUGUCCUUAGUUGCCAGCACGUAAUGGUGGGAACUCUAAGGAGACUGCCGGUGACAAACCGGAGGAAGGUGGGGAUGACGUCAAGUCCUCAUGGCCCUUACGGCCAGGGCUACACACGUACUACAAUGGUCGGUACAGAGGGUUGCGAAGCCGCGAGGUGGAGCCAAUCCCAGAAAGCCGAUCCCAGUCCGGAUUGGAGU